AUGAACGCUAGCGGCGUGCCUAAUACAUGCCAGUCGAGCGAACAGACGAGGAGCUUGCUCCUCUGACGUUAGCGGCGGACGGGUGAGUAACACGUGGAUAACCUACCUAUAAGACUGGGAUAACUUCGGGAAACCGGAGCUAAUACCGGAUAAUAUAUUGAACCGCAUGGUUCAAUAGUGAAAGACGGUUUUGCUGUCACUUAUAGAUGGAUCCGCGCCGCAUUAGCUAGUUGGUAAGGUAACGGCUUACCAAGGCAACGAUGCGUAGCCGACCUGAGAGGGUGAUCGGCCACACUGGAACUGAGACACGGUCCAGACUCCUACGGGAGGCAGCAGUAGGGAAUCUUCCGCAAUGGGCGAAAGCCUGACGGAGCAACGCCGCGUGAGUGAUGAAGCUCUUCGGAUCGUAAAACUCUGUUAUUAGGGAAGAACAAAUGUGUAAGUAACUAUGCACGUCUUGACGGUACCUAAUCAGAAAGCCACGGCUAACUACGUG
rnacentral:rRNA from 1 species